UACGUAGGGACCGAGCGUUGUCCGGAAUCAUUGGGCGUAAAGAGCGUGUAGGCGGCUUGCUAAGUCUUGCGUGAAAUCUCGGGGCUCAACCCCGAGCGGUCGUGGGAAACUGGCAGGCUAGAGUGCGGGAGAGGAGAAUGGAAUUCCUGGUGUAGCGGUGAAAUGCGCAGAUAUCAGGAAGAACACCCGUGGCGAAGGCGGCAUCCUGGACCAACACUGACGCUGAGGAGCGAAAGCCAGGGGAGCAAACGGG
rnacentral:rRNA from 1 species